UACAAUUCAAGAAAAAAGUAU
rnacentral:piRNA from 1 species